GGGUUGGCUUUAAAAGACCUUUUUUGCUUAGCAAGAAAAUCGUCCCUUUCAUUUUUCAUUUACAUGUUUUGCUAUGUAGAUGAGAUGGGGAAUUAUAGCCAUAUAAGUACAUUAAUUUGUUGGGCCUUUGUUUGGUUUGAAUCAAAAUUAAGGAAUGACUAGGGCUGAUGGAUUGUGCAAGACUAAAAACAGACCUAUGAUUAUGGUUGGUGGUCUUUAAAUUCCAGUUGCAAAUUCCAUUAUUAU
rnacentral:misc_RNA from 1 species